UACGGGGGGGGCAAGCGUUGUUCGGAAUUACUGGGCGUAAAGGGCUCGUAGGCGGCCAACUAAGUCGGAUGUGAAAUCCCCAGGCUUAACCUGGGAACUGCAUCCGAUACUGGAUGGCUUGAAUUCGGGAGAGGGAUGCAGAAUUCCAGGUGUAGCGGUGAAAUGCGUAGAUAUCAGGAGGAACACCGGUGGCGAAGGCGGCUUUCUGGACAGAUACCGACGCUGAGGCACGAAAGCUAGGGGAGCAAACAGG
rnacentral:rRNA from 1 species